ACACUCCUGCGGGAGGCAGCAGUGGGGAAUUUUGGACAAUGGGCGAAAGCCUGAUCCAGCAAUGCCGCGUGCAGGAUGAAGGCCUUCGGGUUGUAAACUGCUUUUGUACGGAACGAAAAAGCUCCUUCUAACACAGGGGGCCCAUGACGGUACCGUAAGAAUAAGCACCGGCUAACUACGUGCCAGCAGCCGCGGUAAUACGUAGGGUGCGAGCGUUAAUCGGAAUUACUGGGCGUAAAGCGUGCGCAGGCGGUUAUGUAAGACAGAUGUGAAAUCCCCGGGCUCAACCUGGGAACUGCAUUUGUGACUGCAUGGCUAGAGUACGGUAGAGGGGGAUGGAAUUCCGCGUGUAGCAGUGAAAUGCGUAGAUAUGCGGAGGAACACCGAUGGCGAAGGCAAUCCCCUGGACCUGUACUGACGCUCAUGCACGAAAGCGUGGGGAGCAAACAGGAUUAGAAACCCGAGUAGUCCCAUG
rnacentral:rRNA from 1 species